rnacentral:rRNA from 1 species
CAGUCGCCGCGGUAAUACGAAGGGUGCAAGCGUUAAUCGGAAUUACUGGGCGUAAAGCGUGCGCAGGCGGUUGUGUAAGACAGGUGUGAAAUCCCCGGGCUUAACCUGGGAACUGCGCUUGUGACUGCACAGCUAGAGUAUGGCAGAGGGGGGUGGAAUUCCACGUGUAGCAGUGAAAUGCGUAGAGAUGUGGAGGAACACCGAUGGCGAAGGCAGCCCCCUGGGCCAAUACUGACGCUCAUGCACGAAAGCGUGGGGAGCAAACAGGAUUAGAUACCCCGGUAGUCCCUGUCUCUUAUAC